AUACGUCUCAAUGUGGGAGACUGAAUCAGACCUAUCAGCAUAAUUUUAUAAUUCUUUCCUUGAGAGCAGACACAUACAUUUUAAUUUUGUUCCAGUAGACCUGCAGAAUGCAUUAUUUUUCUUCAGGUAUAUCUAACUUCAGCGACUACAAAACCUCUGCCACAUUCCAUGUGAGCCAUACCUCACUCAUGUCAGAUAUAUGGGGCAGAACAGAGUUUUCAAAAUCCACUCCAUGUGGCUAGCUAAACCUCAUCUCUGUAGCUGUUUACCUUUAUUUUCCUUUAGCUUACAAUGCUAAACGUACCUCUGUGUAUGUCAAGCCACCCUGCUGUGAGUAGGGGCAUAUCAGCUCAGGCCCUGAGCCCCAGGAUGCACAGACAUCUCCCUGUGGGAUUUAAUCUAGAAAGUUUUUCAGACUUAUCUGAUGCUGGCAGAAGCAGACGCCCUGCAGGACACAUCUGUGACAGCACUACCCACCUUUCACCCUGCCAUAUCUGUGCAAAGUAGUACGAACUCUCUUUUCACCCUUAAAAGUGAAAUCUCCAUCUGUCAAGCAUGCCAGGUAGUGAUUCCUGAAGGCAGAAUAAGAAUGGUGGAACUAAAACCUGUUCACCAUCACUGAAACUAUCUCACCACAGAGUCUCUUUAGACCACAUUGCCAGCAACAUUCAGUAAAAUGGUGAUUAGGGAAUUCAGUUGAGAGCAGUGAGUUGUGUCCUGGUCCACUUCCAGAAUACUGUUUAUGGAUUUUCUUAUUAAAUAUAAAACUAUUUUAGGAUUAGGAACUGGACAAAGAAUCAUCAGACUCUUUAACCUAAGUGCCUCUUGGUCAAAGUAUUAAAACACAAACCUUAUAAUCCCUUCCUUUCUGAAUUCUGUGAAUGAUCUGUCUUCCCACCCAUAAGAAUGGCCUCCCCGGAGGCUGAGAAUCCAUCACUGUAAAGGUAUUUUCAAAGUGAGAUGGUUUAAACCUCAGGCAAAGCAACAAACUGAAAUGUUUUCUCAUUACUUGAGUUCUGUAUACAAAGGCAUACAUACACCAAAUGCACAAAGGCACGUAUCACCACAUUCGGGUGUUCAUUUACUGAGCUGGGAGAAAGGUAGGAUUUGGUCACUGGGAUCCUGUUAAAAUGUCACGUCUGCAGUCAUUUCCUCACUCAGCUCCGCUGAUGGCCUUCUUCUGCAUAACAUUUCCUGCACAGCUGCAUCCAGAGAGAAAUUGUAGGCACUUCCUCUUGUAGGCUGCUGAAUGAAAAGGAUGAAGGUACUCCGUAAACCUAUUUACAGCAAAAGAGAAGAGUAAGAUCUUUCUCGUUUUCAUCUUUUUUCUCAACAUCUCUGGGUGGUUUUGGUCAGCAUUGUAUUGUUGGGGGCUUUCUUCUGAAGGGACAUUUGAUAGGAAUAGGGUAUUUGAAUGAAAGAUGAAACAACUCUUUCUUGUGUGGAGGGGUUAACAUUUGACCAGUGACUUUGCAAGACCCAAAAAGUUAAAGAAUGUGAUGGUUCUCUGUAACUGCAAAGUUGUCAAAUAUAUAAUAAAUAUCUUCCAUUAUCGUUUAUGGAGGGGGAAUGGAUUUAGCAGCACCCACUGUCAUUGUGGCACAGAAAGAUUCCAAGAAUGUAAAUGAGUUGUCAGGUGGCCGCAGGUUUAGUUAGCAUUGUCUUAGAGAAAUACUCUAAGUAUUAGUAAGUACUCUAAUACCUACUUAGAGAAAUACUCUUAAUUCCAAAUAAACUGAUUUGGGAAACAGGUUUGUGUAAGCAAGCUUCAGGUUGUCCAGACAUACAGGAUCACCCUAUGUUUUCCCUAAGGAGGUCAGAAAACUCUGAGUCUCAGGUGCAGUUCAUGUGCAGAAAACCAACACUGCUUUGAGGUGUAACACAGCUGUGUCCAGUGAGAUUGAUGAAAAUAAGUUAAUCUCUGCUUUGAGAGCUCCUCUUGGAGGAAACAGCCACGGAAUUAUUGGCUGGAUCCUUCCCUGCUGCCCUGCCAUGGUCUUGAGGCCAGAGAAGAUCAUAAAGGCGUUCUGGGCAGCCUGAUCCAGUGACUGACCUAGCAGUUGGCAACACAGCCCAUGGCAAGGUGUUGGGACUAAAUGACCUCCGAGAUCUCUUCCAACCCAAGCCAUUUUAUGAAUAAAUCACACCUAGAACAAAAGGCCAACAAUGAAGUAUCUGCUGGUGUUGAAAAAGAGAUGAUAUGCCAGCUUCAGUUAGCAGCAUGAAUUCAGUCUGUAAAUGACUCCAAGAUUUAAACUUGUAGUUUUAAGGUGUUUAUAAUAACAAUACAACGCUGAAAUUCCCUUUAUAUUCAGAAGUUUGCUCUUUUGGCUUUUAUUUUUGGCUGAAAUGUUAAGUCAGGACUCUGCCACUCCUUAGCAUUUGUUCACUAAUUCCUUAAUACUGAAGUACUACUCUUUUUCUUUUUACAAGAAAGGGUUUUGCUGCAGUGUUCUGGCCAAGCACCAGCUUGGCACUCGGACAAUUUUACUUGACUAAACUGGAGUUCUACUUGAUACAAGACAAUUAUUCGCUCUCUCAAACUGUGGUACUCUUCAUUUCACUUCACAGCUAGCUGCUCUUCAGCGGCUCUGGUUUGAAUCAGAAACAGUGUUGGCAGAAGGAACAGGGAAGUAAUUGUUCUCAGCACUGGUGAGGCCGCACCUUGAGUACUGUGUCCAGUUUUGGGCCCCUCACUAUAAGAAAGACAUCGAGGCCCUGGAGCGUGUCCAGAGGAGGGCAACAAAGCUGGUAAGGGGUCUGGAGCACAGGCCUUAUGAAGAGCGGCUGAAGGAGCUGGGAUUGUUCAGUCUGGAGAAGAGGAGGCUCAGGGGAGACCUUACUGCUCUCUAUAGCUGCCUGUAGGGAGGUUGUAGUGAGCUGGGGGUCAGCCUCUUCUCUCACGUGACUAGUGAUAGGACUAGAGGGAAUGGCUUCAAGCUGCGCCAGGGAAGGUUCAGGCUGGACGUUAGGAAAUACUACUCCUCUGAAAGGGUGAUCAGGCACUGGAAUGGGCUGCCCAGAGAAGUGGUGGAGUCACCGAGCCUGGUGGUGUUCAAGGAACAUUUGGAUGUUGUGUUGAGAGACAUGGUUUAGUGAGAACUAUUGGUGAUGGGUGGAUGGUUGGACUGGGUGAUCCUGUGGGUCUUUUCCAACUUUGGUGAUUCUAUGAUUCUAUGAAUUCAUUUUCUCACUUAUGAAAUAAAAACCACGGUACAUUUUACCCUUAUGUCUAUAUUAGAAGAUUUAAUAUUAAUAUUAUUUAAGUAGAAUAUACAUUUAUUCUACCAAUAGUAUUAGUGUCAUGAUUUCAAUAUGUAUUCUUUAUACUUUAAUUAGUUUAAAACUAAGGGUUUACAGUUUAAUCCCAGCAAAAACUUGUUUCACCAUGUUACGAAAUCAGUGGGAACAAAGAGCAUCCAACAAAGCAAUGCUGGUUAUUCUGAUUACAAGUCAGGCCUGAUCCAAAGCACAUGGACUGAAUUAUUGAUGUCAUCCUGUCUUCAAAAGGCCUGGAAUCAGACCCUUCGAGAAGACAAUCAAUAGUGCCAGUCAGAACUGGGAAUGAAUAGCCAAAUCAGCUGAUAAAUAAGAAAUAGCAAGUAAACUUUGUUUAGAUGGUUACAGAAAAUUGAACGAUGUCAAGCAAUACAGUAAAUUAACAUCUUGAUGAGUCAUGUUCCUGUGCUGAAAAAUCAAUUCUGAUUGUUUUAUCUUUUAAAUUUCUGGGGAGAAAAAAAAGACUGAAAUGAGAAUUAGUUUGCCUAUGCCAUAUAAAGUACAGAAUUUAAAGUGUUUUCGAAAGAAAUGUGUUAAAAUUGCUGUGUACUGCAAAGCAACGGAAGCAUUGGAGUCACAGGAUGAGUGGAAGAGAAAAUAACAUUGACUGUACCGUUAACAUCUUUUUAAUAGCUUUUCUCUGUUUCUGUAUGCCCAUCUCACAAAAAUUUUAGGAUCUCAAGCUUUGUUUCAUUUUCCAACAUCAAAUAUACUCAUCUUAUUCAUACUAUUCAUAUGAAAUAAAUUGGUAUUAGAGUACUAUAAUUGAAAAGAAAAUCAAGCAUUUAAUCUACUGUAAAACAAAUCACAAAUAAAUCAAAGUACAAAUCUAUAGAAUAUUGGGGGAAAAAAAAAAGAUAACUUACUUUUGCCUUAAACUCAAGAAUAGUUUAUUACAGCUGACAAAUGCUAUAUCUAAGAUGAAAUUUUUGAGGAGAUAAACUGUUGGACUAUACCAGUUACUUCUAUCUGCUCAACAGUGCUAUUUUUCUAUUAUAAACAUGUGGGAUCAUGUAGAUGGCUUUAGUGAAAUUGGAG
ensembl:lncRNA